rnacentral:rRNA from 1 species
GGACGAACGCUGGCGGCGUGCUUAACACAUGCAAGUCGAACGGAAAGGCCCUGCUUUUGUGGGGUGCUCGAGUGGCGAACGGGUGAGUAACACGUGAGUAACCUGCCCUUGACUUUGGGAUAACUUCAGGAAACUGGGGCUAAUACCGGAUAGGAGCUCCUGCUGCUUGGUGGGGGUUGGAAAGUUUCGGCGGUUGGGGAUGGACUCGCGGCUUAUCAGCUUGUUGGUGGGGUAGUGGCUUACCAAGGCUUUGACGGGUAGCCGGCCUGAGAGGGUGACCGGCCACAUUGGGACUGAGAUACGGCCCAGACUCCUACGGGAGGCAGCAGUGGGGAAUAUUGCACAAUGGGCGGAAGCCUGAUGCAGCAACGCCGCGUGCGGGAUGACGGCCUUCGGGUUGUAAACCGCUUUCGCCUGUGACGAAGCGUGAGUGACGGUAAUGGGUAAAGAAGCACCGGCUAACUACGUG